AUUGAACGCUGGCGGCAGGCCUAACACAUGCAAGUCGAACGGUAACAGGAAGCAGCUUGCUGCUUCGCUGACGAGUGGCGGACGGGUGAGUAAUGUCUGGGAAGCUGCCUGAUGGAGGGGGAUAACUACUGGAAACGGUAGCUAAUACCGCAUAAUGUCGCAAGACCAAAGAGGGGGACCUUCGGGCCUCUUGCCAUCGGAUGUGCCCAGAUGGGAUUAGCUUGUUGGUGGGGUAACGGCUCACCAAGGCGACGAUCCCUAGCUGGUCUGAGAGGAUGACCAGCCACACUGGGACUGAGACACGGUCCAGACUCCUACGGGAGGCAGCAGUGGGGAAUAUUGCACAAUGGGCGCAAGCCUGAUGCAGCCAUGCCGCGUGUAUGAAGAAGGCCUUCGGGUUGUAAAGUACUUUCAGCGGGGAGGAAGGGAGUAAAGUUAAUACCUUUGCUCAUUGACGUUACCCGCAGAAGAAGCACCGGCCAACUCCGUG
rnacentral:rRNA from 1 species